rnacentral:rRNA from 1 species
UACGAAGGGGGGCUAGCGUUGCUCGGAAUCACUGGGCGUAAAGGGUGCGUAGGCGGGUCUUUAAGUCAGGGGUGAAAUCCUGGAGCUCAACUCCAGAACUGCCUUUGAUACUGAAGAUCUUGAGUUCGGGAGAGGUGAGUGGAACUGCGAGUGUAGAGGUGAAAUGCGUAGAUAUUGGGAGGAACACCAGUGGCGAAGGCGGCUCACUGGACCGGUACUGACGCUGAUGCGCGAAAGCGUGGGGAGCAAACGGG